rnacentral:rRNA from 1 species
GAAGCCCCCUUCAAGAUGAGACUUCCCAUAGCGCAAGCUAGUAAGACCCCUCAUAGACGAUGAGGUUGAUAGGUUCGGUGUGGAAGUGCAGUAAUGCAUGGAGCUGACGAAUACUAAUCGGUCGAGGACUUAUCCAC